AUCGCUUCUCGGCCUUUUGGCUAAGAUCAAGUGUAGUAUCUGUUCUUAUCAGUUUAAUAUCUGAUACGUCCCCUACCGGGGACCAUAUAUUAAAUAGAUUUUUGGAACAGGGAGAUGGAAUAGGGGCUUGCUCCGUCCACUCCACGCAUCGACCUGGUAUUGCAGUAUCUCCAGGAACGGUCCACUCAAA
ensembl:snRNA U2 U2 spliceosomal RNA